GUCGAUGAUGGGGGGAGUAAGAAGAUAACAGUAGAUAAAUCAAUGUUGCAAGUUUGUUAAUAACAGGUAUGUUUUUGAAUAACUGCUGUAACUGUAGCAAGUUUUUUUAACAUUUAAGUAAAUACAGUAUUUAUGGGACUAUGACAUAGAAUCUUUAUGAAAUACUAUGGCGAUAGUUCAUCCAGUGUCUGUAUUUCUAUUGACUAGGUUGAAUUUCACUGAAAUUCCAACACAGUCAAGAGAAA